rnacentral:rRNA from 1 species
AGCGAACGCUGGCGGCGUGCCUAACACAUGCAAGUCGAACGUGAACGGGGGCAACCCCUAGUAAAGUGGCGUACGGGUGAGUAAUACGUAGGUAAUCUACCCUAGUGCCUGGAAUAACCUGCCGAAAGGCGGGCUAAUACUGGAUAGAGCGACGGAGGUCGUAAUGGCCUUUUCGGGAAAGGGAGCUCGCAAGAGCCUUCACACUAAGAUGAGCCUGCGUCCCAUUAGCUAGUUGGUAGGGUAAUGGCCUACCAAGGCGAUGAUGGGUAGCUGGUCUGAGAGGAUGAUCAACCACACUGGAACUGAAACACGGUCCAGACUCCUACGGGAGGCAGCAGUGGGGAAUCUUGCGCAAUGGACGAAAGUCUGACGCAGCCACGCCGCGUGAGUGAAGAAGGCCUUAGGGUUGUAAAGCUCUGUCGGAAGGGACGAAUACUUCUGUGGUUAACAGCCACAGGAACUGACGGUACCUUCAAAGGAAGCACCGGCUAACUCUGUGCCAGCCGCCGCGGUAA